rnacentral:rRNA from 1 species
GAUGAACGCUGGCGGCGUGCCUAAUACAUGCAAGUCGAACGCUGAAGGAAGGCGCUUGCUCUUUCCGGGUGAGUUGCACACGGGUGAGUCACGCGUAGGUCCCCUGCCUGGUAGCGGGGGAUCACUAUUGGAAACGAUAGCUAAUACCGCAUAACAGUCGAUGUUGCAUGAUGUCUACUUAAAAGGCGCCAUUGCACCACUACCAGGUGGACCUUCGUUGUAUUAGUUAGUUGGUGCGGUACCGGCUCACCAAGGCGACGCUACAGAGCCGAAAUGACAGGGUGGGCGGCCAGACUGGGAGUGAGACACGGCCCAGACUCCUAGAGGAGGCAGCAGUAGGGAAACGGCGGGAAUGGGUGGAAGACUGACCGCGCAACGCCGCGUGAGGGAAGAAGGUUGUCGGAUCGGGAAGCACUGUUGUAAGAGAAGAAAGAGUGUGAGAGUGGAAAGUUGAGACUGUGACGGUAUCUGACCAGAAAGGGACGGCUAACUACGUG